AUUGAACGCUGGCGGCAGGCUUAACACAUGCAAGUCGAGCGGAGAGAGGUAGCUUGCUACUGAUCUUAGCGGCGGACGGGUGAGUAAUGCUUAGGAAUCUGCCUAUUAGUGCGGGACAACAUUUCGAAAGGAAUGCUAAUACCGCAUACGUCCUACGGGAGAAAGCAGGGGAUCUUCGGACCUUGCGCUAAUAGAUGAGCCUAAGCCGGAUUAGCUAGUUGGUGGGGUAAAGGCCUACCAAGGCGACGAUCUGUAGCGGGUCUGAGAGGAUGGUCCGCCACACUGGGACUGAGACACGGCCCAGACUCCUACGGGAGGCAGCAGUGGGGAAUAUUGGACAAUGGGCGCAAGCCUGAUCCAGCCAUGCCGCGUGUGUGAAGAAGGCCUUAUGGUUGUAAAGCACUUUAAGCGAGGAGGAGGCUACUGAAGUUAAUACCUUCAGAUAGUGGACGUUACUCGCAGAAUAAGCACCGGCUAACUCUGUGCCAGCCGCCGCCGUAAUAC
rnacentral:rRNA from 1 species